GGUUCGAUGCCACGUCGACGGUAGCCAAAGUGCCUUGACCGACGAUGCUAUGAUUGAACCAAGAUUGAAAUCUUUCGCUUUCUGAUAGGAACCUGUGGAUCCUAUUUACAAUCUGGUCCACGGAGCCGAUUUACUGCGAUUACAUCU